UUGAUUUUUAAAAGAUGUGCUGGCAUUUACAAUGCAUGUGCACUCUUCACAAAACCAAUAUCCACCUGUGCACACUCUGUAAGCAAACAGGACAUUUUUUGUCCUUUGCUUAUGUCCUUUUACAAACAAUUGUUGAUCAAUUUGAAUGUUACUAUAAACAACUAAUA
rnacentral:misc_RNA from 1 species